GCAAGUCCUACUGAUCCCAUCUCCAAAAAAGCUCUUUCCUCUCCAUUUCCACUGACACCACAGUCAAUGCCACCCCCACCUGUCUAGGUGGUCUAGGUGAUCAUCACAGGGACCUUCCAAUUGUUCUCUGUGCUUUCAUAAAGCCAUCCUCUGAGCAGCCAGCAGGACUUUUAAAAAAUAUAAAAUUAACUGUGUCACACCCAUUUUAAAAAGCCCUACACUGGUCUUCCACUGAUUUUGAAUAAAACCCAAACUCCUUUCUAUGGCCUCUAAAACCUUGCAUGACGUGAACCUGCCUAAAUCUCUAACUUCAACUCAAGCCACUCACCUUGCUUGCUACAUCCUGGGCUCCCCCGUUCCCUUCGGUCCCUCCUAGGGGCCGUGUUGCCUCCCUUCUCUGCCUGGAACAUUUUCUCCCCUACACCCAACACGGUUGGCUGAUGUCAGCUCCAAGAGGACUUCCCUGACGCACCAUCUGAAGGAGAAGCACCAAACUCUGCUCACCUCCUGUACAGCGCAGAUGGAACUGUAAAUGGUACAUCGAAGAAGACAGAGAAAGAAGUAAUUUCAAACACGGU
rnacentral:lncRNA from 1 species